CUCAGAUUGAACGCUGGCGGCAGGCUUAACACAUGCAAGUCGAGCGGAGAGAGGUAGCUUGCUACUGAUCUUAGCGGCGGACGGGUGAGUAAUGCUUAGGAAUCUGCCUAUUAGUGGGGGACAACAUCUCGAAAGGGAUGCUAAUACCGCAUACGUCCUACGGGAGAAAGCAGGGGAUCUUCGGACCUUGCGCUAAUAGAUGAGCCUAAGUCGGAUUAGCUAGUUGGUGGGGUAAAGGCCUACCAAGGCGACGAUCUGUAGCGGGUCUGAGAGGAUGAUCCGCCACACUGGGACUGAGACACGGCCCAGACUCCUACGGGAGGCAGCAGUGGGGAAUAUUGGACAAUGGGGGGAACCCUGAUCCAGCCAUGCCGCGUGUGUGAAGAAGGCCUUAUGGUUGUAAAGCACUUUAAGCGAGGAGGAGGCUACUUUAGUUAAUACCUAGAGAUAGUGGACGUUACUCGCAGAAUAAGCACCGGCUAACUCUGUGCCAGCAGCCGCGGUAAUACAGAGGGUGCAAGCGUUAAUCGGAUUUACUGGGCGUAAAGCGCGCGUAGGCGGCUAAUUAAGUCAAAUGUGAAAUCCCCGAGCUUAACUUGGGAAUUGCAUUCGAUACUGGUUAGCUAGAGUGUGGGAGAGGAUGGUAGAAUUCCAGGUGUAGCGGUGAAAUGCGUAGAGAUCUGGAGGAAUACCGAUGGCGAAGGCAGCCAUCUGGCCUAACACUGACGCUGAGGUGCGAAAGCAUGGGGAGCAAACAGGAUUAGAUACCCUGGUAGUCCAUGCCGUAAACGAUGUCUACUAGCCGUUGGGGCCUUUGAGGCUUUAGUGGCGCAGCUAACGCGAUAAGUAGACCGCCUGGGGAGUACGGUCGCAAGACUAAAACUCAAAUGAAUUGACGGGGGCCCGCACAAGCGGUGGAGCAUGUGGUUUAAUUCGAUGCAACGCGAAGAACCUUACCUGGCCUUGACAUAGUAAGAACUUUCCAGAGAUGGAUUGGUGCCUUCGGGAACUUACAUACAGGUGCUGCAUGGCUGUCGUCAGCUCGUGUCGUGAGAUGUUGGGUUAAGUCCCGCAACGAGCGCAACCCUUUUCCUUAUUUGCCAGCGAGUAAUGUCGGGAACUUUAAGGAUACUGCCAGUGACAAACUGGAGGAAGGCGGGGACGACGUCAAGUCAUCAUGGCCCUUACGGCCAGGGCUACACACGUGCUACAAUGGUCGGUACAAAGGGUUGCUACACAGCGAUGUGAUGCUAAUCUCAAAAAGCCGAUCGUAGUCCGGAUUGGAGUCUGCAACUCGACUCCAUGAAGUCGGAAUCGCUAGUAAUCGCGGAUCAGAAUGCCGCGGUGAAUACGUUCCCGGGGCCUUGUACACACCGCCCGUCACACCAUGGGGAGUUUGUUGCACCAGAAGUAGCUAGCCUAACUGCAAAGAGGGCGGUUACCACGGUGUGGCCGAUGACUGGGGUGA
rnacentral:rRNA from 1 species